GAUACACUCACCUCCACGCUAAACCCAGACCUUCACUAGAUACACUCACCUCCACGCUAAACCCAGACCUUCACUAGAUACACUCACCUCCACGCUAUUCCUUUGUUUGCUAAGCACUAUCAGUUACGAUAUAUUUAUUGUCCUAAUAUACUGUUUCAUGUCAUAGACGUGGAAAGGAAAGCCAACAAGGCACUUAAUAAAACAACUUGCGAAGGGAAUUUCAGAUGUCAGAUAUGUCAAUAUGAUGAUGGUUCCAGUGUUCAACCUGAUUUCUCUGGUCGUUCUCUGAACGGUUAAAGAAACACAAUAAGGAAUGGUGUCCAUCUUUGAACUAAUAUUUUCACACCCAAACAAACAUCUCAACGUUAUUUCACAAUGUGCCAUUACUUCCGUUUCAAGACUUUCUUAAGACAGAUAUUGUGAUUAUAGACCGUAUGAAUUAGCUACUUUAAAGACUGUAAAACAAAUAACCAAAUGUGUAAUAUAUUGUUCUAAAUUAGUACAAACAGUAUAUUACCACAGCUGACAGUCACAGUAAAUGAUCCUUAAAGGGAUAUAAUGUGGUAUUAUUGUCAUGCAUUAUUUAAUAAGGAUUUAUUUGGUAUUUCCAUAUCAAUAUUCCAUAAUCUAACAUUGACUGUAUUGCCAGUCAAUUGAAACUCUCUAUCCCAAAUGGCACCCUAUUCCCUAUAUAGUGCACUACUUUAGACCAGGGCCCUAUUCCCUAUGUGGUGGCCAACUUUAGACCAGGGCCCAUAUCUAACUCUCUAAAGGAGGAUCCUUAUUGAAACACUAAUCAUGGGCUCCUGAAGAUGCUGUAAAUCCCAUGUGUUCUAUGAUGAUAGGCCUCAUCCAGCUCUCUCACUGUGGCUACAUGGGGAUACUUUCACUCCUCUGUAGGCUUUAAGGCAGCAACAUAGCCUUCAUCACUGAAAUAUGCAUCAUUUCUAUGGCUUGUUAUUCACAGUACAGUAUGUAGAAUGUAGCUUGUACAUAGCCUUUUACAGGAAUACUUUUUGUAUCCUUUUUUUUCUCCCUUAAUAUUUCAUUAUUAUACAUUUCUACUAGUUUUUUAUUAUAAACAAAAUAUAUGUGAAUAUAUAGACAUUAGUCUUUUUGAUUUGAUUAGACCAAUGUUUGUUUUAUGUUUGUUUUUAACAUUGUUUAUUUGUUAUUAGACUAAGGUGUUGCCUGGAAAACAACUGAAGAACAAAAUAACAUGAAUUGUUGUAUGGCCUUAAAUUACUACAUACACACAGCUACAUUACAUUACUACAUACACACAGCUACAUUACAUUACUACAUACACACAGCUACAUUACAUUACUACAUACACACAGCUACAUUACAUUACUACAUACACACAGCUACAUUACAUUACUACAUACACACAGCUACAUUAUAUUACUACAUACACACAGCUACAUUACAUUACUACAUACACACAGCUACAUUAUAUUACUACAUACACACAGCUACAUUACAUUACUACAUACACACAGCUACAUUACAUUACUACAUACACACAGCUACAUUACACACAGCUACAUUACACACAGCUACAUUAUAUUACUACAUACACAGCUACAUUACAUUACUACAUACACACAGCUACAUUACUACAUACACACAGCUACAUUACUACAUACACACAGCUACAUUACUACAUACACACAGCUACAUUAUAUUACUACAUACACACAGCUACAUUAUAUUACUACAUACACACAGCUACAUUAUAUUACUACAUACACACAGCUACAUUACUACAUACACACAGCUACAUUACUACAUACACACAGCUACAUUACUACAUACACACUGCUACAUUACUACAUACACACAGCUACAUUACUACAUACACACAGCUACAUUACUACAUACACACCGCUACAUUACUACAUACACACAGCUACAUUACAUUACUACAUACACACAGCUACAUUAUAUUACUACAUACACACCGCUACAUUACUACAUACACACAGCUACAUUACAUUACUACAUACACACAGCUACAUUAUAUUACUACAUACACACAGCUACAUUACUACAUACACACAGCUACAUUAUAUUACUACAUACACACAGCUACAUUACUACAUACACACAGCUACAUUACAUUACUACAUACACACAGCUACAUUGCAUUACCACAUAAACACAGCUAUAUUACAUUACUACAUACACACAGCUAAAUUACAUUACCACAUAAACACAGCUAAAUUACAUUACUUCAUACACACAGCUACAUUACCACAUACACACAGCUAUAUUACAUUACUACAUACACACAGCUACAUUACAUUACCACAUACACACAGUUACAUUACAUUACUACAUACACACAGCUACAUUACAUUACUACAUACACACAGCUACAUUACAUUACUACAUACACACAGCUACAUUACUACAUACACACAGCUACAUUACUACAUACACACAGCUACAUUACAUUACUACAUACACACAGCUACAUUACAUUACUACAUACACACAGCUACAUUACUACAUACACACAGCUACAUUACAUUACUACAUACACACAGCUACAUUACAUUACUACAUACACACAGCUACAUUACUACAUACACACAGCUACAUUACAUUACUACAUACACACAGCUACAUUACAUUACUACAUACACACAGAUACAGUACCUAUCAAAAAUUUGGACACCUACUCAUUCUGGGGUUUUUCUUUAUUUUUACUAUUUUCUACAUUUUAGAUUAAUAGUGAAGAUGUCAAAACUAUGAAAUAACACAUACGGAAACAUAAAGGUGUUAAACAAAUCAAUAUACAUUUUUUUAUUUGAGAUUCUUCAAAGCAGCAUUUGCCUUGAUGACUACUUUUCACACUCUUGGCAUUCUCUCAACCAGCUUCAAGAGGUAGCUACCUGGAAUGCGUUUCAGUUAACAGGUGUGCCUUGUUUAAAGUUAAUUUGUGGAAUUUCUUACCUUUUUAGUUAUUACAUGAUUCCAUAUGUGUUAUUUCCUGAUUUUGAUGUCUUCACUAUUAUUCUACAAUGUAAAAAUAAAGGAAAACCAUUGAAUGAGUAAGUGUGUCCAAACUUUUGACUGGUACUGUACAUUACAUUACAUUACUACAUACACACAGCUACAUUACUACAUACACACCGCUACAUUACUACAUACACACAGCUACAUUACUACAUACACACAGCUACAUUACUACAUACACACAGCUACAUUACUACAUACACACAGCUACAUUACUACAUACACACAGCUACAUUACAUUACUACAUACACACAGCUACAUUACUACAUACACACAGCUACAUUACAUUACUACAUACACACAGCUACAUUACUACAUACACACAGCUACAUUACUACAUACAAACAGCUACAUUACUACAUACACACAGCUACAUUACUACAUACACACAGCUACAUUACUACAUACACACAGCUACAUUACUACAUACACACAGCUACAUUACUACAUACACACAGAUAACUUAUUAUGAUUGUGUUCAAGACAAGAGAGAACGCUUUGAGAAGAAAAAACCCC
ensembl:lncRNA